rnacentral:lncRNA from 1 species
AUGAGUAAAAUAUCAUUAGUGAGGCUUUAUACAGGGGUACUGGUACAGAGUCAAUGUGGAGGCUAUAUACAGGGGUACCGGUACAGAGUCAAUGUGGAGGCUAUAUACAGGGGUACCAGUACAGAGUCAAUGUGGAGGCUAUAUACAGGGGGUACCGGUACAGAGUCAAUGUGGAGACUAUAUACAGGGGGUACCAGUACAAUGUGGAGGCUAUAUACAGGGGGUACCAGUACAGAGUCAAUGUGGAGGCUAUAUACAGGGGGCACCAGUACAGAGUCAAUGUGGAGGCUAUAUACAGGGGGUGCCGGUACAGAGUCAAUGUGGAGGCUAUAUACAGGGGUACUGGUACAGAGUCAAUGUGGAGGCUAUAUACAGGGGGUACCAGUACAAUGUGGAGGCUAUAUACAGGGGGUACCAGUACAGAGUCAAUAUGGAGGCUAUAUACAGGGGGUACUGGUACAGAGUCAAUAUGGAGGCUAUAUACAGGGGGUACCGGUACAGAGUCAAUGUGGAGGCUAUAUACAGGGGUACCAGUACAGAGUCAAUGUGGAGGCUAUAUACAUGGGGUACCAGUACAGAGUCAAUAUGGAGGCUGUAUACAGGGGGUACCGGUACAGAGUCAAUGUGGAGGCUAUAUACAGGGGUACCGGUACAGAGUCCAUGUGGAGGCUAUAUACAGGGGGUACCAGUACAAUGUGGAGGCUAUAUACAGGGGGUACCGGUACAGAGUCAAUGUGGAGGCUAUAUAUAGGGGGAACUGGUACAGAGUCAAUGUGGAGACUAUAUACAGGGGGUACCGGUACAGAGUCAAUGUGGAGGCUAUAUACAGGGUACUGGUACAGAGUCAAUGUGGAGACUAUAUACAGGGGGUACAGGUACAGAGUCAAUGUGGAGACUAUAUACAGGGGGUACUGGUACAGAGUCAAUGUGGAGACUAUAUACAGGGGGUACUGGUACAGAGUCAAUGUGGAGGCUAUAUACAGGGGGUACAGGUACAGAGUCAAUGUGGAGGCUAUAUACAGGGGUACCGGUACAGAGUCAAUGUGGAGGCUAUAUACAGGGGGUACUGGUACAGAGUCAAUGUGGAGGCUAUAUACAGGGGGUACUGGUACAGAGUCAAUGCGGAGGCUAUAUACAGGGGUACCAGUACAGAGUCAAUGCGGAGGCUAUAUACAGGGGGUACCGGUACAGAGUCAAUGUGGAGGCUAUAUACAGGGGUACCAGUACAGAGUCAAUGUGGAGGCUAUAUACAGGGGGUACCGGUACAGAGUCAAUGUGGAGGCUAUAUACAGGGGGUACCAGUACAGAGUCAAUGUGGAGGCUAUAUACAGGGGGUACUGGUACAGAGUCAAUGUGCGGGUCACCGGUUAG